UCCCUUCUCCCUUGCGCACAUGCCCAUAUGAAGCCACCCUUAUUUUUGCACCAUCUUAUUUUUGGCAUGAGUUUCUCCAUGAUAAUAGUAGUCUCACCCCUCUUCCACAUGCCCCAAGUUAGGAUAUAGAUAAGAUAAGUUUUUAAUUUGAUUUGAACUUCCUUAUUGGAUGAGAUUUGAUCUCAUCUAGAUCCACCUUGAUGCCUAACCUUAAUAGAAAAUUAUUUGUGUGAUGGAAAUGAGAUUUCCAUCAAACAAAAAUUCUAGUGUAUGUGAGAAAGUGAUUUCUGACUG
rnacentral:lncRNA from 1 species